AUGGGUCCCGAGCCCCGCCUGCCUCUCCCAGCUCCCCCUCCCCCAGGACCCGGAUACAGGGGACAGAGGCCCCAGCCCUGCACCUGGGGUUUUCCGGGACAGGCUCCAGUCCCCCCGCGCGGGAACAAAGGCUGGCGGAGGAGAGGGGAAGUGGGGCGCAAGGCAAAGAAGUGGGGGCUGACCACGCUUGGCCACAGCUCCGCAGGCUGCCUCCCCCAUGUCCCGUCCUGCGUGGGGCCAGUAUGGGGAGAAGCCACCACCAGCCUGCCCCUCCCCUUGGGGGCAAACGAGGCCCACAGGGAAACCGGGCUGGUCCUGGGGGCACCGGAGCCCAGUGGCUGAGCCCCCCCCACCGCCCCAGCAGGCACCCUCCCCCACAGCCAUCUGCAAAGGUGACUGGGGGUCCUUCCCGCCACGCCCCCAGCAUCUGCACUGUGUGUCUGCCCCUUGCGGGCGUGUUUCCUGGUAGCCGAGGUGUCCGGGCACGGCCGAGGGACCAGGGCACGGCCGAGGGACCAGCUCUGCGACUCGGCCUUCGCCUCUGGGGCUGUGCCGCUGGCGUCCCUGAGCAGGUCCCUGGGCGGUGCGUGCGUGUUUGAGCGUGUCCCAGGCCAGUGCCUGGAUCUUGGGGUGUCUGUGUGGGCUUCCUGUACGUCCACAUUUGGGGGGUGGAGUUGUUUGCCCUCUAAGGUCAAGAAUGACUCUUCCCCCAGAAAGCCCUGCCGCGGGAGGGGUGGGAAGACAGCUGCUGGGCCUUCUCCCCCCCAGGGUUCUGUCCACCUUCUGCAGGAGCUCAGCUGAGUUAAAAAUAGCCCCGGGGCCUCUGGAAGCGGAAGGGGUAGAGGCGCCCGCAGGCCGGGGGAGGGAGGAGGACGGGAGGCACCCCCGGUCCAGCAGGCAGCGGGCGGUCCCCCGGGCCCACCCAGCACUCCAAGGCCAGCCAGCUUGGCUCCAGCAGGGCGGGCCCCACAUCCGCCUGCCCCACCUGCAAGCGUCAGGGACCCCGACCCCGCGGCUCCUCCGGCCGCUCUUGAGAAAGGCAGAGGGCCUGGGGCAGCCAGCCUGGCCAAGCCUCGGUCCCCAGAGGUGUUGACCCCGGUUCUCACCAGGCUGCCCCUGAGGACUCAGGACAGCAAGCGGAUCAGACAAGGCCCUGCCCUCACGGAGCGCGGGGAAGAGGCCAAGGACACCAGAAAGCUCAGGCGUCAGGCCAAGGGAGGCCUGUCUCGGCAGGGUCCUCUCCGAGAACAAGAGCGGACCGCUCUCUUAGCGGGCUGGGGGCGAGCCCACAGGGUGAGAACCACCAGUGUGUGGGAGCGGGAAAGGUAUCCGAGCUGAGGGAAUGGCAGAUGCAAAGGCCCUGGAGCAGAAGAACCACGGUGUCUCGCUGCAGUCUCUCUCACCUCAAGCAGGGCCUGUCAGCUCUCACCCGAUAACCUGUCUGAGUCACUCCAUGACUGUCAUUCUGUCUCCUCUUCGCAAGUCGGCCUCGGCACCUCACGGCCCGUGGACAAACCUGGAAGCCCUUGCCUGGCCGUCGUUGGAGCCACGUGGCCCCAGGAGCGCCCGGGCUCAGCCCAGCCAAGACGUCCCCGAGCCUGGCUCAAGCUGCACACCGCCCACCUCCGCGUCCCCACACUCCCCCCCACCCCACCCCCGAGGGUGUCUUGCCCUGAGACCUGGGUGGGACCUCUCGUGUUCAGUGUCCAGAACUGGGCCUGGCUCACUGGGGAGAGAGCAAGGCGAACGCACGCAGACACACAGGCCUGACAAAGGCUCACAGCUGUUGACAGAAAGAGCCCGGGACACACCUAGAGGCGGCAGGAGAGACUUCACGCAGGCCCCUGCAGUGGGGAGAGACCCCACAAGGACUCCAGGGUUUAAAGGGAGAGCAGGAGUCUCCCGGUGGCUCAGCCAGUUAAGCAUCUGAGGCUGUCACUGCUGUGGCACAGUUUCGAUCCCUGGCUCAGAACUUCUUCAUGCCUCGAGUGCGGCCAAACAAUAAAUAAAUAAAGGGAUGACGUUUUCGUUG